AGCAGUCGCCCGGUAAUACGAAGGGUGCAAGCGUUACUCGGAAUUACUGGGCGUAAAGCGUGCGUAGGUGGUGGUUUAAGUCCGUUGUGAAAGCCCUGGGCUCAACCUGGGAAUUGCAGUGGAUACUGGGUCACUAGAGUGUGGUAGAGGAUAGUGGAAUUUCCGGUGUAGCAGUGAAAUGCGUAGAGAUCGGAAGGAACAUCUGUGGCGAAGGCGACUAUCUGGGCCAACACUGACACUGAGGCACGAAAGCGUGGGGAGCAAACAGGAUUAGAUACCCACGUAGUCCCUGUCUCUUAUACC
rnacentral:rRNA from 1 species